rnacentral:rRNA from 1 species
ACGGGUGAGUAACACGUGGGUAACCUGCCCUGUACUCUGGGAUAAGCCUUGGAAACGAGGUCUAAUACCGGAUACGACCCUUGAAGGCAUCUUUGAGGGUGGAAAGUUCCGGCGGUAUGGGAUGGACCCGCGGCCUAUCAGCUUGUUGGUGGGGUAAUGGCCUACCAAGGCGACGACGGGUAGCCGGCCUGAGAGGGUGACCGGCCACACUGGGACUGAGACACGGCCCAGACUCCUACGGGAGGCAGCAGUGGGGAAUAUUGCACAAUGGGCGAAAGCCUGAUGCAGCGACGCCGCGUGAGGGAUGACGGCCUUCGGGUUGUAAACCUCUUUCAGCAGGGACGAAGCGCAAGUGACGGUACCUGCAGAAGAAGCACCGGCUAACUACGUGCCAGCAGCCGCGGUAAUACGUAGGGUGCGAGCGUUGUCCGGAAUUAUUGGGCGUAAAGAGCUCGUAGGCGGUUUGUCGCGUCGGCCGUGAAAACUUGGGGCUUAACCCCAAGCCUGCGGUCGAUACGGGCAGACUUGAGUUCGGCAGGGGAGACUGGAAUUCCUGGUGUAGCGGUGAAAUGCGCAGA